rnacentral:ncRNA from 1 species
CAUUUUAAAUAUAGAUAAUUGUGCUGAACAGGGACAUUGAGUGCUUAGGAAAGCAUGUUAUUUCACGGGUAGAGUCAAUAUGCAGCAAAGAGAGUAUGAGAUAAACUUUUAAAGGUUAUUUUAACAUGUGAUAUUUUCUAGUAGAAAAAGUCAUAGGUAAGCAUCAUAUGAGAACAGUAGACAACAGAAAGAAUGGUAGUAGUAAAUUCUUAUUCAUUCUGAAAAAUCUCAAGUAUUCAUCUAGAAUUUCCAAUUCAGCGUUGGCCACUCUAGAUAACCUGCAGCCAAUCACAUGCCCCCAUGGUGAUGAUGACCCAUUUGAAUGUCUGCCCUGUCAACUUUUGAUGGUACUGUCUUUGCCUACCAUAGUGACCACGGGUGAUGGGGAAUCAGAGUUCGAUUCCAGAGAGGAAGCCUGAGAAACAGCUACGACAUGCAGGAAGGCAG